rnacentral:piRNA from 1 species
UAUGAAUAUGCAGUCCUAUUCUUUCUCCU